rnacentral:rRNA from 1 species
UACGUAGGGUGCAAGCGUUGUCCGGAAUUAUUGGGCGUAAAGAGCUCGUAGGCGGUCUGUUGCGUCGGCUGUGAAAACCCGGGGCUCAACCCCGGGCCUGCAGCCGAUACGGGCAGACUAGAGUUCGGCAGGGGAGACUGGAAUUCCUGGUGUAGCGGUGAAAUGCGCAGAUAUCAGGAGGAACACCGGUGGCGAAGGCGGCGACCUGGGUAGAUACUGACGCUGAGGAGCGAAAGCCAGGGGAGCAAACGGG